GACGAACGCUGGCGGCGUGCUUAACACAUGCAAGUCGAACGAAAAGGCCCUGCUUUUGUUGGUUGCUCGAGUGGCGAACGGGUGAGUAACACGUGAGUAACCUGCCCUUGACUUUGGGAUAACUUCAGGGGACUGGGGCUAAUACCGGAUAGGAGCUACUGCUGCAUGGUGGUGGUUAGAAAGUUUCGGCGGUUGGGGAUGGAUUCGCGGCUUAUCAGCUUGUUGGUGGGGUAGUGGCUUACCAGGGCUUUGACGGGUAGCCGGCCUGAGAGGGUGACCGGCCACAAUGGGACUGAGAUACGGACCAGACUCCUACGGGAGGCAGCAGGGGGGAAUAUUGCACAAUGGGGGGAAGCCUGAUGUAGCAAUGCCGCGUGCGGGAUGACGGCCUUCGGGUUGUAAACCGCUUUCGCCGGUGACGAAGCGUGAGUGACGGUAAUGGGUAAAGAAGCACCGGCUAACUACGUG
rnacentral:rRNA from 1 species